CUCACUGGAGCUGGCUCUGGAGUUGCCUUGGAGGGAUGGGGCCUGGUGCUGGUGCCAGCCAGGCUCCUCGCCCUGUCACCCUCACGGCCACCUGUAUCCAGAAUUCCUCCCCCACUUACAGCUCCGGUCGGCGGUGCUCCUCUGUGGGUGUGCACUUCUGCGUGGAUGUCCCACGGGACCUGACAGCCUGGCCCUCUGCAAAGCCUGGUGUCCUGUGAGCCUGGAAGUUCUCUCUGGCUUAGCAACUGACCGGACUUCCCUACAGCCCAGCUGGAGAGAUCACAGCACUUUUCUCUCCCUUGCCCCCAGGAGGGAGGGAGCGGCUUGUGAUUUGACCCUUGGGAUGUCUCUCAGAUCACCCGCUUCUCUUCACCUCCUCAGCGGCCGUCCUAUCCUGACCCCUGCCACCCCUUGCUGGUUGAUCCCCUGGCCCCUGGCUCUAGCACUCAUCUCCCAUGGGGAGGAAGCCCAGUGAAGCGUUGCUGGGGCUCUCUGCUGAAGCGUGGUCCUUCUGGUGGUCCCUCAGGCUCUGUGGCUGCUGGCCUCCAUCAGUCCUGAGAAGUGUUGCCCCUGGGGACCAAGAGUACCUGCCAGGCCCAUCCGGAUGUCCGAGUUCUUCGCCCUCCUCCAUAUAAUCAUCAUUACCGUGUGCCGUGUAUUUCCCGAGUGCCCAGAGAGAGUAACCUGCAGUAAACAUUCCUUGAACAAACAAAUGAGUGAAGGCAUAAAUGCAUUUAUGCCCUAGGAGAGAGUACCUAGUGUCAUUCUCGUCUCGCAGAUGAAAGUCUGAGCUGUGGCGCAAUUUAGUAAUAACGUAAUCAAAGGACCUGGUACUGGUACGAGGUGGAGUCUGGGCGAAGCCUGUUCUGCCAGCCACCAGAGGCCGCCAGGACCCCUCACUCAGGCGCCCGUGAUCUCUCCCAUCUUUCUUGCCUGUCAGGGGAUUUCCCCUCCUGGCAUCUCAAGUUGGGGGCUGUGUCGACACAGCUACUGGGUUAGUUAGUGCAGACUCUAGUGAGCAACUGGGUAAUUAUUUCCAAAAAUAUUGACUUGUAAUGUGAAGAAAGCUCUUCUCCAUGCCACCCGUCAGCAGAAAAUUGCCUUUGGUAUUAACAUUUCAUCAACCGCAUAAUGUGAAUUGAUGUAAAUGCAUAAUUAGAUAUAAUAGCCUGGGAAAAUUCACUCUUAUUUAUAAAAUUGGGCUUGUUAAAUUAAAAUGGGAGCUAACGAUUUCCAUCUCACUCUUAAAACAUGUCCGAGGUUUUGCCUGCCUUGCUAUGCAGAAGCCCUUUAUCAGUGGGUGCCUGGGCACACGGGCAGCUUUGUAGGGAGACUCCGAAGAAGGGGACCCUCUGAGGAGGCGUGGACGCCACCUGUCCAAAAGGUGGCUCCCUAGUAUCAUAAACGGGUCUCUUAAAAACAUUUUAAUCCACGUGCAACAAAGGACAAGCCCUGAGGAGAGAAGGCUGGGUGACACUAUCCUUAGCCCUCAUUCUUCUUGUAGGACGGGGGCCAGACCCCAUCCUGCCAGAGUCUGAGGAUGUCGUGGGGGAUGGGAAAGGUGCCCGGUGUGCAGUUGCGGUGAACACAGCAAUGGGCUCCGCGAGUGUGGAGAGCUUGCAGAGGGCAGUGGGCAGAGAAACCUCCUCAUCCCCGUUGAUACUUGUCAUUCAUUCAACAACCGCUCAGUUAGCAUCUCUCACCGGUGCCAGCCCCUGUGCCGGGUGCUGGGUAUCCAGAGAUGGAGAAGGUAUGAUUUCCGAUCAUUUGGAGCUCACCCCGUAGGUGGGAGGGCAGGGAUUUAAACAUGUCUUCAUUUUGGUGGCAAGUGACAGAAAAACCAUUCACACCAUGUAAAACAAGGAACAAAUCUAUUGAUUCGCAUAACUCAAAUAGAUUUCAGGCACAGCUUGAUCCAGGGACUCAAAUGAAUCAAUCAGGAUGCUUGUUCUAGCUGUUUCUCUCCCUUUCUCUUCAUGCUAGCCUCAUUCUCUCCACUCUUGCAGAUUGCAGCCACCCCUCCCACCCCCCCACCCCCAUUGCGGGAAUGGGCGAUACUGGCAUGCUGUUCACAUUUAUAGGGAAUAGCUGAUUUUUAAGAAAAAAAACCCUACAACUCUUUCCAAAUGGAGAUAAUUGCUUCCCCCACACCCUGUGCUUACGGGGUAUGUGGGGCUGACUCCACUUCUCAGCUUCGGAGAUGUGAACGUGACUCAGACCUUGCCAGUUGGAACACUCAGACCCCCAUCUGUGGAAACAAGCUCAGGGACGCACAGGGUCCUGGCUAGAUGUAACGUCCAUGCCACAAGGAGGAGUCUGGCCAGAAUCAUCAGGAAGGUAGCAUGCUCUGGUCCUCACGGUGGUGGGCUCUGUGGUAGCCAGAGCCAUCCCUGACCCUUUCGGGAGAAACCAGAGCUGACCCAUAGAAAGAUGAUCUUACGAAGUUGUUGGUGUCCCUGGCUCAGCCAGGCCUGGAGACAGGUGCACCCCCCAUGCUCCUCACUUCCAUGGCCAGUCCCUUCCUUUUCGAUUUGACGCUCUAGGACUCCAGUUUUCCGUCAGCUACGACUGGAAGAGUCCUGGCACUAUCGGUCCAGGUCUUUCUCCCCGACUGAAAAUCACUCCCCAAACAGCGAUUCAUGGUUGUUUUUAAUAAGGCCCAGCCCCCUUCUAGAAGCUCC
rnacentral:lncRNA from 1 species